GAGCCCCGCCCCUGUACGCGCUGGUUGAUCCUCGCAGGCAUGAUGAAACCUCCCGCACGCAUGAUGAAACCUCCCGCACGCAUGGUGAAACCUGCCGCACGCAUUACAGCGCCAGCAGACCCGCCGCCGGCAUGCCGUCCACAGCCCUGGCCUUCGCUGCCCACAUCGCCCUGACCUGCUUGCGCCCUGGUGAGCCGACCCCGGCGUCCCGCGCGGCACCCUCCUCGCGUGCUCUGGGUCUGCUCCGGGAGGAAGGAGACUUUCUUCAAUCAUACCUGAAUAAAUCACUUAAAGAGAGCUUAUAGCUUCAUUCCACCACAUGUGGCAUUUGGCCCUGUUUGGCAGUGAUGACUGCCUUUCUGUUCAGUGUCUGAGUGCUAUGUAGAUUGCACACAGGGGUCCAGAUGCAUUCUGUUUUGAGAAUGUCAGUGGAUACACCAACAGCUGCUUUGGAUUUCACCGGAACCGCUGUCUGGAAUGCAGCCAAUUCAAGUGAAGAAAUAUCUGUAUUUGUGGCUCUGUUACAAUGAUGAAAUCUACAACCAUAAGAAGGUCUUGUUUCAUUGAAGCACUUCAAGACUCCCUUUUUAAAAGUGGAGCCUUUUCUUCCUGGACACUAUGAAGUUUUUGAUUUAAAGCCAAAUGGCCAAGUUGCAUCCGUGGAAAUGGUUAAAUAUCAUCACUGUCGGGAUGAACCCCCACACGCCCUCUAUUACAAUGUGGAGAAACUCUUUCCAGGUAGCAGACACCCACCCACCUAUUUCCCAUCCUUCUCUAAGGGAAAAAAGUUAUAAGUUAUCUUCACAUCAUUUGAAUGAUUUUAGUUUCAAGAUCUACUUCCUAUUUUGUUUGGAGGGAAUACAUAAAGAUUUGGCAGACUCCUGCAUUGAAUAAAUGCCAUCAUGAUAGAUGUUGAUGAUUGUGUAUUUUAUUUCAAUAACUCAUCCAGCCCAAGAUUUUCUGGAGCUGUUUGAUUUACUUGCUGCGUUUAUAGGUUUUGAGACAGAAACUGUGAAGAACAAACUCCGGAUCCUUUUUAAUGAUGCUAUAAAGAGACGUUUGAUGACAGAUAGGUUGCCUUUUAUCAGGUGAAGUCAAUUAAGAAACCUAAUUAUACUUCAUGCAUGUUUAAUUGAAAUGCUGUGUAGCCGUCCCUUUGGUUUUUACUAUAAAAUAUUUACUAUAUGAUUUAAUCUUUCCUUCAUUAUAGGAUGGAAACAAUUUUUUAUAAGCUGCAUUUAAUAGUCAUAGUAAUACUCCAACUUGAGUUACACUAUAGCUAUAUUAUUGGUAUAAGAGUGAGCCAGUGAAUGUUCUUUAGAAUUCUGUGUAGUGAUUUUUAACCAAUUCAAAUACUACUAUUAUCACAGUUUAUAUAUUUUUCUCUUAUUGAAGUUGAUUUCCGUUUAUAAAACUUGGGGAUUUUAAAUGGUAAAACUAUUAUCUUGGUGUUUAUCAGGAUUGUACAUCCUCUGUCCCUGUCUUAUGCAAGGCACAUAACUAGGAAACUUCCACUUCCUCUUUUGCCUGUAGAGGGCUUGGACUCCAGCUUGUUGCUGCCACCCUGUUGAAGCAGCUGAAAGAGGCCCAAGUACAGUGUCCUCUCCAGACAUUUGUAAUUGGCAUGGAAGACAGCCCUGAUUUACUGGCUGCUAGAAAGGUGGCAAAUCAUAUUGGAAGUGAACAUCAUGAAGUUCUCUUUAACUCUGAGGAAGGCAUUCAGGCUCUGGAUGAAGUCAUAUUUUCCUUGGAAACUUAUGACAUUACAACAGCUCAUGCUUCAGUAGGAUUAGAGAGGGAGAAAUAAAAACUGCUUUAUGUGCCAAAAGCAAAACUCAUGGUGCUUUUAUUUGUGAAAUGGGGUCCUUCUGAAAAAGCCAAGGAGGAGAGUGAGAGGCUUCUGAGGGAACUCUAUUUGUUUGAUGUUCUCCAUGCAGAUCAAACUACUGCUGCCCACAGAAUGAGAUAGAAAAACAUCUCCUGAGAGAGACAUUUGAGGACUCCAAUCUGAUACUCAAAGAGAUUCUAUGGUGACCAAAAGAAGCCUUCAGUGAUGGCAUAACUUCAGUUAAGAAUUCCUGGUUUAAGAUUUUACAGAAAUUUGUUGAACAUCAGGUUGAUGAUGCAAUGAUGGCAAAAUGCAGCCCAGAAAUUUCCCUUCAAUACUUCUAAAACCAAAGAAGGAUACUACUACCAUCAAAUCCUUGAACACCAUUUCCCAGGCCAGGCUGACUGGCUGAGCCAUUACUGAUGCCCAAGUGGAUCGAUGCCACUGACCCUUCUGCCUGCACACUGACCCACGACAAGUCAGCUGCCAAAGCUUAGGUGCUCUUUACGCUAAUAUGAAAGCAAAUAUUUCUUCUUAUUGUAUGGGGACUAUGGGUAGAUAGGGGAACAAUGAAAGUCAACUCAGGCUAACUUGAAUGUGAAAAAAAUAAAAGUCUGAAAUCUAAAA